rnacentral:rRNA from 1 species
GACGAACGCUGGCGGCGUGCCUAACACAUGCAAGUUGAACGGAAAGGCCCUGCACUUGUGGCGUCCUCGUGUGGCGCAAACGUGAGUAUCACGUGAGUAACCUGCCCUUGACUUUGGGAUACCUUCAGGAAACACGGGCUCAUACCGCAUAUGAGCUCCUGCUGCAUGGUUGGGGUUGUUAAGAUUCGGCGGUUCGUCAGUGAAUCGCGGCUCCUCAGCUUGUUGGUUGGGUAGUGGCUUACCAAGGCUUUGACGGGUAGCCGGCCUGACAGGGUGACCGGCCACAUUGGGACUGAGAGGCGGCCGAGACGCCUACGGGGGGCAGCAGGAGGGAAUAUUGGAGAAUGGGCGGAAGAGUGAUGAAGCAACGCCGCGUGCGGGAUGAUGGCCUUCGGGUAGUAAACCGGUUUGGCCGGAGACGAAGCGUGAGGGACGUAAAUGGGUAAAGAAGCACGGGCUAACUAGGU